rnacentral:lncRNA from 1 species
CCUGAAAAGCACCUGGGACCCAGGUCUCUCUCUGUCGCUUCUCUCCCAUCUCCAGUCAGGGAUCGGGGGGCGCUGCCGGAGAUGGCGCAGAAAUUCAGAAGAGUCGCUGUGGAAGAGGGCCUGUCAGAGGAAGACAUCAGCUUCUCGUCCGAGCAAGUGGCCUGCAGUGGCUCAAAGUAGGGAACCCGGAACCAGUUCGUCACAUGACCACAGGACGCCGCCCGCAGCUGCAUAAAAGUGUCCUGAAACGGCUUAAUAAAAAGACGUCAAUAUCUC